GCCUGGCUGGCUCAGUUGGUAGGGCAUGUGACUCCCAAUCUCAGGGUUGUGAGUUUGAGCCCCUGUUGGGUA
rnacentral:tRNA from 1 species